UACGUAGGCAGCAGGCGUUGUUCGGAGUUACUGGGCGUAAAGGGUGUGUAGGCGGUUCUUUAAGUUCGCUGUGAAAUCUCCCGGCUUAACCGGGGGGGGGCGGUGAAUACUGAGGGACUAGAGUACGGGAGAGGAAAGUGGAACUCCUGGUGUAGCGGUGAAAUGCGUAGAUAUCAGGAGGAACACCGGUGGUGUAGACGGCUUUCUGGACCGUAACUGACGCUGAGACACGAAAGCGUGGGUAGCAAACAGG
rnacentral:rRNA from 1 species